AAACCUGAUAAAACUUUCAACAACGGAUCUCUUGGCUCUUGCAUCGAUGAAGAACGCAGCGAAAUGCGAUAAGUAAUGUGAAUUGCAGAAUUCAGUGAAUCAUCGAAUCUUUGAACGCACCUUGCGCCUUUUGGUAUUCCGAAAGGCAUGCCUGUUUGAGUG
rnacentral:rRNA from 1 species